rnacentral:ncRNA from 1 species
UAAAAUGCGAGGAAUGAGAGAAGUAAUCCCUGAGACUUCCUUGAAGAGAGCGCUGGGCUGGUGUGACAGCGCAGGGAGAGGGGACGAAAUACACUCAGGAGCAGCAGGCUGAAGAGAGUAGGCCCCGCCGGAAUGCCACCGUUAUCAGAGGCUAGGAUAUGUCAGUAUCCGAAGUGAGAGGCUUGCGUCAGCAAGCAGGGUGGUACCACGGGUAUAUCGGCUCGUCCCUGUA